GACGAACGCUGGCGGCGUGCUUAACACAUGCAAGUCGAACGGAAACGCCCUGCCUUUUUGGGGUGCUCUAGUUGCGAACGGGUGAGUAACACGUGAGUAACCUGCCCCUCACUUUGGGAUAACUUCAGGCAACUUGGGCUCAUACCGGAUAGGAGUUCCUGCUUCAUGGUGGGGGUGGGAUAGUUUAGGCGGUUGGGGAUGGAAUCGCGUCCCAUCAGCUUGGUGGUUGGGUAGUGGAUUACCAAGGCAUUGCCCCGUAGCCGGCCUGAGAGGGUCACCGGACACAUUGGGACUGGACUGCGGCCCGGCCUACUACGGGAGGCAGCAGUGGGGAAGGUUGCAUAAUGGACUGAGGCAAGGCGCAGCAACGCCGCGUGCGGGAUGAAGGCAUGCGGGUUGUAUUCCGCUUUCGCCUGUGACGAGGCGUGAGUGACGGUAAUGGGUGAAGAAGCACCGGCUAACUACGUG
rnacentral:rRNA from 1 species